ACAGCAGAAGUGUCCAUUUUGUUACACACUCGUUCAAACCUUCCUCUCCCAGGGUGAUUUCCAUUUCUUCCUCCGCCAUGCUGGAAAUCGCCUCUAGCGGAGGCGGAGGGCCAAUUAUUGUAAACCUCACAUUAAAUUAUUCGUUAUCUCCUUCUCUUCCAUAAUCCCUAAUACUUUUCCUUUGAUUCUUCCUAAAUCUCUCAAACUGACAUUAAACUCACAAGAACCCUGAGUAACAAUUUCACAAAUUAAACAUUGAAGCGAUGGAAUCAAAGUCUAUAGCAUUGGGGAUUUGAUUCCUCGUAUUAAAUGCUACAUUAUGGUAUGAAGUUCAUCGUAAAUAGAGGCAAAAAGGAGGCAAAUCACCAACGUGCAAGACAUAGAUUCAUCUUGGAUUUUGUUGCCACUGAAGAUGAAAUUCACGCAGAAAAUACCAGAGAAUCGAACAGGAAUGGUGUAUGUGACAAGAUGACUUGGCAUUUAGAUCAUGAAGGCAUGGGCAAAGACUUGAACAUAAGGAAUGAUUAGUGACUUGGAUAUCAAAGUGAAGAUGAAGAAAGACAUAGGGUUUAGGGAUUGGAACUAGGUAGUUGACUUUAAUCAACUACUUGACCAAAAACUCGAUCAUUGACCAAAGUCAACUGUAGGUCAAAAGUUGUAUUUUUUUGUAGGUUUUUGGAUUUUACACUUUUGUGAUGUAAUUGGAUAUUUGAACCUUGAAUGACUUUUGUAAUGAAAAAUGAAUAUGAAAAACCUUAUCUUUAAUGAA